rnacentral:lncRNA from 1 species
UCUCUUGAAGCUCUAGCUCAAUUCUCUUGGCGUUACUCUUGUACUCAUCUGAUAAUCUAGUUCUUGUCAUUUCUUCUUGAACUUCUUGUUUAGAUUUCUUGUUUGUAUUUUUGGUCCGCGACAGUUUGUCGAGACUACCUUUAUCUUAAUAUCAGAGCUGAAUCCUUCUUGUUUGAGAGCGGAUUACCCCUCUUCUUAAAGGUAUUCUAGCGCUUU